AGAUUGAACGCUGGCGGCAUGCUUUACACAUGCAAGUCGAACGGCAGCACGGGGGCAACCCUGGUGGCGAGUGGCGAACGGGUGAGUAAUAUAUCGGAACGUACCCGGAAAUGGGGGAUAACGUAGCGAAAGUUACGCUAAUACCGCAUAUGCCCUGAGGGGGAAAGCGGGGGAUUCGUAAGAGCCUCGCGUUUUCGGAGCGGCCGAUAUCGGAUUAGCUAGUAGGUGAGGUAAAGGCUCACCUAGGCGACGAUCCGUAGCUGGUCUGAGAGGACGACCAGCCACACUGGAACUGAGACACGGUCCAGACUCCUACGGGAGGCAGCACGUGGGGAAUUUUGGACAAUGGGCGCGAAGCCUGAUCCAGCCAUGCGCGUGAGUGAAGAAGGCGUCGGUGUAAGCUCUUCGUACGCGGUAAACGAACGUCGACGUACGUACG
rnacentral:rRNA from 1 species